AGCACGUUUUAAAUUUGGUGAUGA
rnacentral:siRNA from 1 species